GAUGAACGCUAGCGGCAGGCCUAAUACAUGCAAGUCGAACGGGAUCCAGAUCAAAGCUUGCUUUGGUCUGGUGAGAGUGGCGCACGGGUGCGUAACGCGUGAGCAACCUACCCUUGUCAGGGGGAUAGCCCGGCGAAAGUCGGAUUAAUACCGCAUGGCAUCAUUGAGAGGCAUCUUUCGAUGAUCAAAGAUUUAUCGGACAAGGAUGGGCUCGCGUGACAUUAGCUAGUUGGUAAGGUAACGGCUUACCAAGGCUGCGAUGUCUAGGGGCUCUGAGAGGAGAAUCCCCCACACUGGUACUGAGACACGGACCAGACUCCUACGGGAGGCAGCAGUAAGGAAUAUUGGUCAAUGGACGGAAGUCUGAACCAGCCAUGCCGCGUGCAGGAGGACGGCCCUAUGGGUUGUAAACUGCUUUUAUACGGGAACAAACGUCGGUACGUGUACCGGUCUGAGUGUACCGUAAGAAUAAGGAUCGGCUAACUCCGUG
rnacentral:rRNA from 1 species